AGAGUUUGAUCCUGGCUCAGGAUGAACGCUGGCGGCGUGCUUAACACAUGCAAGUCGAACGAACCUUCGGGUUAGUGGCGGACGGGUGAGUAACGCGUGGGAACCUGCCCUCAGGAGGGGGAUAACGGUUGGAAACGGCCGCUAAUACCCCAUAUGCCGAGAGGUGAAAUGAAUUUCGCCUGAGGAUGGGCCCGCGUCUGAUUAGCUAGUUGGUGGGGUAAGAGCCUACCAAGGCGACGAUCAGUAGCUGGUCUGAGAGGAUGAUCAGCCACACUGGGACUGAGACACGGCCCAGACUCCUACGGGAGGCAGCAGUGGGGAAUUUUCCGCAAUGGGCGAAAGCCUGACGGAGCAACGCCGCGUGAGGGAUGAAGGCCUCUGGGCUGUAAACCUCUUUUCUCAAGGAAGAAGACCUGACGGUACCUGAGGAAUAAGCCACGGCUAAUUCCGUGCCAGCAGCCGCGGUAAUACGGGAGUGGCAAGCGUUAUCCGGAAUUAUUGGGCGUAAAGCGUCCGCAGGUGGCCCUGUAAGUCUGUCGUUAAAGCGUGGAGCUUAACUCCAUUUAAGCGAUGGAAACUACAGGGCUAGAGUGUGGUAGGGGCAGAGGGAAUUCCCGGUGUAGCGGUGAAAUGCGUAGAUAUCGGGAAGAACACCAGUGGCGAAGGCGCUCUGCUGGGCCAUCACUGACACUCAUGGACGAAAGCCAGGGGAGCGAAAGGGAUUAGAUACCCCUGUAGUCCUGGCCGUAAACGAUGAACACUAGGUGUCGGGGGAAUCGACCCCCUCGGUGUCGUAGCCAACGCGUUAAGUGUUCCGCCUGGGGAGUACGCACGCAAGUGUGAAACUCAAAGGAAUUGACGGGGGCCCGCACAAGCGGUGGAGUAUGUGGUUUAAUUCGAUGCAACGCGAAGAACCUUACCAGGGUUUGACAUCCUGCGAAUCCCUUGGAAACGAGGGAGUGCCUUCGGGAGCGCAGAGACAGGUGGUGCAUGGCUGUCGUCAGCUCGUGUCGUGAGAUGUUGGGUUAAGUCCCGCAACGAGCGCAACCCACGUCGUUAGUUGCCAGCAUUCAGUUGGGCACUCUAGCGAGACCGCCGGUGAUAAACCGGAGGAAGGUGUGGAUGACGUCAAGUCAUCAUGCCCCUUACAUCCUGGGCUACACACGUACUACAAUGCUACGGACAAAGGGCAGCGAUCCCGCGAGGGCUAGCAAAUCCCAUAAACCGUGGCUCAGUUCAGAUCGUAGGCUGCAACUCGCCUACGUGAAGGAGGAAUCGCUAGUAAUCGCAGGUCAGCAUACUGCGGUGAAUACGUUCCCGGGCCUUGUACACACCGCCCGUCACACCAUGGAAGUUGGCCACGCCCGAAGUCGUUACUCCAACCCUUGUGGAGGAGGACGCCGAAGGUGGGGCUGAUGACUGGGGUGAAGUCGAAACAAGGUA
rnacentral:rRNA from 1 species